rnacentral:rRNA from 1 species
UACGGAGGGCGCGAGCGUUAAUCGGAAUUACUGGGCGUAAAGCGCGCGUAGGCUGUUGUGUAAGUUGGGGGUGAAAUCCCACGGCUCAACCGUGGAACAGCCCUUGAUACUGCGCGACUUGAAUCCGGGAGUGGGUGGCGGAAUUCCAGGUGUAGGAGUGAAAUCCGUAGAUAUCUGGAGGAACAUCAGUGGCGAAGGCGGCCACCUGGACCGGUAUUGACGCUGAGGCGCGAAAGCGUGGGGAGCAAACAGG